ensembl:lncRNA
GUGAGGCCAGGCCUCAGGCUGUCCCUUCGGGUCACACCCAGUGUGAAAAGGCAGCAGAUACAGUACCAGGGCAGACACUCGCCCCCAGGAAUGGCUCCCCCAGAUCCCAGGCCUCUAGGCCCCGUAGACGCAAGUUUCCCCUGCUGCCACGCAGGCGAGGGGAGCCUCUGAUGCUGCCACCUCCCUUAGAGCUGGGGUUCCGGGUCACUGCUGAAGACCUGGACCUGGAGAAGGAGGCGGCAUUCCAGUGCAUCAACAGUGUACUGCGGGGUGAGGCCAAGGCCAUCUGGGACUGCAGACCCUCACGGCCUUCCCAUGCUUUGUCUUCACUUGCAACAGGGACUUCUGGUCUCCCUGCUGUUUCUAAAGCACCCAAUAUGGAUGCACAGCAGGAGAGACACAAGUCCCAAGACUCCUGGGGCCCAGUGCGCCCCUAGCAUCUGCUGCAGAGGCUCCCUCUACAGCUUCUGUGUCUAGGAAGAAGCACAGACCACCAGGUCCCCUGUUCUCCUUCUCAGAUCCCCUUCCUGCCACCUGUUCCCACUCCCAGGACUCAGCCCAGGUCACCUCGCUAAUUCCUGCCCCCUCUCCAGCUGCAAGCAUGGAGGGCAGCUUGAGAAGCCCAAGGCCUGGCACUUCUGGAGCCAGUUCCAGCCCUGCAGCCACACCCACGGGCUUUGGGAGCAGAGAGCCAGCCCCAGCUCUGAGUUCCCUCAGAAGAAAACAGGACCCAGGCUGCACACCCAUCUCCAGCCCAGGGCAGCUCCCCUGUAAGCUGGGCGAACUACUGAGGCCAAGGCGGGAGGCGGCUGACAGCACCCACGGCCCAUGCGGAGGUGGUGGAAAGGCUGGACUCAGCAGCAACACCAAGCAGAAACCACCCGAGACUGAGGGGCUUGUGCCAGAGCGGUGGCCACAGGUAAGAACCCGGGACCAGGCUGUGUGUGGUGGGAGUCCUCCUAGUCCCAGGGCUCAGCACAGCAAAGACAGACCAGCUGCGUCAUCCUGGCAGCCAUCUGUCCCUGUCCCACCUGCAGAGUCAGAACAGCCUCUCCCCAGUGGGGAUCGUCUCUCCCUGCCCCAACCAGACUGUCCCCACUCCGUGGAGUUAUGGCUGCGGCUCCAGCGUCCUAACGCUGCCCAGCUGGCACUGCCUGUGCUCACCCACACCCCCCAGGCUGGCCUUCCCUGCAGCCUGGGCUUAGCCACCUUGGCCUGAUUGAGCACUGAGGCCUCCUGGGCACCCAGCCCCAUCAUGCACCUGCUGCUUCCAGCCCCACCCCACCGGCUCAGGGGUUCUUCCCAGCGGCGCUGAUCAUGAAAUCAACAUGCACGCAAGUCGUCUCAGGGGACUUUUUAAUGAAAGUGUCCGCAGUUCUUUCCCCCACGGUGGUGCAUAGGUGGCUGAGCUCAGAUUGCAGCUGCUAAGACACUAGCCACUUACUGAGAGAAAGCCAGGCUGCUUCAAACCCAGGGCCUGAAGCAAAAAAGCAUCACUUCUGGUCAGGGAGUCUUGCAAGCCAUGCCUUGUGGGAGGUCACACUGGCAUCUAGGCCUUUGCCUGCAUUGCAGAAGGAGAGCCGGGUGUCCUCCUGGAGAACGCUGCGUUCCCCAGCCCCUCACCAGCUUUGCCACCACACAGGCUUUCGAGGCAGGAGGCCGGUAAGACACAGCUCUAGACCCAAAGCAACCAUCAGCUCUGGGGCCCUGCAGGAGAGGAGCACUUUUAGAACAUGGAAAAGUGUGGUCAUCCCAUCAUUAGACAGCACACAUCCUACAUAAAUAAAGUCAUAUGGGGAAGGAGGUUGGGGAGGGAACAAAAAAUUGGCACAGACAUUGAUAGAUUGGCUUCCAGUCUCAAGGCGACAGAUGCACAUCAUGAGACCAGAGGAGACAGAGACAAAGGCUGGAUUUGGCUUUUCUAAGCAACAUGUGUUCCUGCGCAGGGCUGGACGGUCGCUGAGACAGAGAUGGAAGCCAGGACAGGGGAGCCCACAGGGCCCAGAUAGGUACAGAGGGCAGAGGUUCCUGUUCUGUCCUCACCACCCACGAGAGUGACACUGCUUGUAAACGGUGGCCGUGCUCACCUAGCAAGAAAAAAGCAAAACAAAAUCCAUACCACACACAGAUGCAAACAGAAAGCUGUCCAGAAGCAGAGAGAAGUGUCAGGUGCACGGCCCCGCUGUCAGCCUCCCCGAUGAGCUGUGGGCUCAGCAGGAGCUGCCCAUUGACACACAGGGGAAACCCACUGCUUCCACCUUCGGAGCGGUCGCCAGACAGAGCCACACUGGGGGCUGGUGUCAUCCAGGGACCCCACACACUCUCUUGAAUUCGAUCCUGCUUCCCUCUGGGCAGCUGCGUCCUUUCCUCCUGCAGGACCGUCUGGAAACUCGGCUCUGCUCUCCCUUCUCUCCUCUCUCUGCCCCAAAGCCCUCUUUCUAAAAAAGUGAUGCAGUGUUCAUGGGGUUAUUUCUUGAAAAUACUUGGCGGCCUCCACGCUUCCGUUUUCUUUGAGCCAGGUGGUCAGGAGGGUUUACAAAGAAUGCCUGGGCUCCCCCGCAGGUGCGGGCAGAGGGGGUAGUGAUUGGUCCUGUGCCUCCACCUGCUCUGGGAGGGAAUCUUCCAUCUCUAAGGCUGGCCCCUUCCUAACCCUCCACGUAUCCUGUUCUCCAGACUUCAGAACCCCACUCCUAAGAGCAGUGGGGCCAGGCGCUUAGAGGAAGAGCAAAUGCUGCCAGGACAUGGAUUAUCCACAGAAUACAUUCUAGCAUCGUAUUAGGUAUCUGAAUCUGUUAGGAAAAAAAAUUAGAAACUACGUAUAAAACUUAAAAAUAUUCAAGUAUCAAAAGGUUAUUUAGGAUUAAAGUUUUAAAAUAAGUCAUCAGCAAGCUGCUACCACCAAGUGGAGACUUUUACAAAAGUUGAGCGAGUCUGCUGAGCUGAGAGGACAGAAAUGAAGUCACCUGUGCUGGGGCAGGGGCAGGGGCACCUGGGGCAGGGAGUGUGUGGGCAGAGAGAAACCAGAGAAGUCCAGGUCUGUGGAAGCCAAACAGGAGAGCGUGCGCCGGAAGGGCAGUCAGGAUCCGGGCACAAGGUCGCUGUUCCUGGAGAACGAACCCUAAAGUGCAUAGCCUGAGACUCCCUCCCUGGGGGUCCUGUCCCCCAACAUUUCACAGGCCUCCUGGAGCUGCCUUCCAAGGAGGACAAACAUGGCAACAAAAGACCCAUUUCUGCACAACAAUCCUUCUGGAAAGAAAAGAAAAAGCCAAGAAUGGAGUCAAAACGCUACCCAGUGCUGACUAAGCCUCUCAAACCCUGUUCUAAAUGGAGUGUGGUUUCUAAGUCAGGGAAAUGGAAGAGGCCCCACCCACACGGACAGGGCCAUGGCCCCACAGGAUGAAGCAGCAGCGUUUAUUCAAGAUACAACAGUGAGGGAAUCUGGUCACAUUCCCUUCUCCCCACAGAGAGUGCAUCUUGACAAGUGAUCCAGUAGAAACCUUUUAAACUCUAUAAGUUAAGUUCAUAAAAACCACUGUUUUCACCCUGUCUCCCAGGGCCAGGCCUGGCCUCUCAGAUGCACUGGCUUGGGGCGCCCUCGGGUGGCCACAGGGAAAAAAACCACAGUCUGAGGCCAGUCUGGGGCUUCCAGACCUAGGCGGGAUUUGCCCAGUCCACCUGUCCUUUGCCUUUGGGUCGCUGCUUCUUGGCAGAUGGCCCGACACUUGGUGGCCCAAGGACACCUCAGGAAGGUUCCCACUCUACGGAUGGCCUGAUUAGCCAGAGGUUUCCAGGCCGUCUGUUCGCCUC